GACGAACGCUGGCGGCGUGCCUAAUACAUGCAAGUCGAACGAGAGCAACCGGUGCUUGCACUGGUCACUCUAGUGGCGAACGGGUGAGUAACACGUGGGUAACCUGCCCAUCAGAGGGGGAUAACAUCCGGAAACGGAUGCUAAAACCGCAUAGGUCUUCGAACCGCAUGGUUUGAAGAGGAAAAGCGGCGCAAGCUUCUGCUGAUGGUUGGACCCUCGGUGCAUUAGCUAGUUGGUGAGGUAACGGCUCACCAAGGCCGUGAUGCAUAGCCGACCUGAGAGGGUGAUCGGCCACAUUGGAACUGAGACACGGCCCAAACUCCUACGGGAGGCAGCAGUAGGGAAUCUUCCGCAAUGGACGCAAGUCUGACGGAGCAACGCCGCGUGAGUGAAGAAGGUUUUCGGAUCGUAAAACUCUGUUGUUAGAGAAGAACAAGUGCUAGAGUAACUGUUAGCGCCUUGACGGUAUCUAACCAGAAAGCCACGGCUAACUACGUG
rnacentral:rRNA from 1 species